rnacentral:rRNA from 1 species
UACGUAGGGCGCAAGCGUUGUCCGGAAUUAUUGGGCGUAAAGAGCUCGUAGGCGGUUUGUCGCGUCUGCUGUGAAAACUGGAGGCUCAACCUCCAGCCUGCAGUGGGUACGGGCAAACUAGAGUGCGGUAGGGGAGAUUGGAAUUCCUGGUGUAGCGGUGGAAUGCGCAGAUAUCAGGAGGAACACCAAUGGCGAAGGCAGAUCUCUGGGCCGUAACUGACGCUGAGGAGCGGAAAGCAUGGGGAGCGAACAGG